rnacentral:rRNA from 1 species
AUGUUGAAAUGUAAGUUCUUCGAGCAGAAUCGUGGGAAACUACUGCAACAAUUGGUGUCUCAGAGAGCUGAUAUUGCAGAAAAAAUGAUCAUAACCUUGGAAGGGCUAGAGAAGGCAACAAAUAAUUUUGAUAAAUCUCGUGAGCUUGGUGGUGGAGGGCAUGGUACUGUCUAUAAGGGGAUUUUAUCAUACCUCCAUGUUGUCGCCAUCAAGAAACCAAAGAAGUUUAUAUCCAACGGAACCCUUUAUGAUCAUCUUCAUGUUGAAGGACCAAGAUCAUUGUCAUGGGACAAUAGGCUGCGGAUAGCAGUUGAAACAGCCAGAUCCCUCGCAUAUCUUCACUCCACAGCUUCGGUACCUAUCAUCCAUAGAGACAUCAAGUCUGUUAAUAUACUAUUGGAUAAUACUCUAACAUCGAAGGUAGCAGAUUUUGGAGCUUCAAGGUAUAUUUCUGUGGAGAAAUCGGGUUUAACAACAAUGGUGCAAGGUACAGUUGGAUAUUUAGAUCCUAUGUACUUCUACACCAGACGGCUUACCGAGAAAAGUGAUGUUUAUAGCAUUGGAGUCAUGCUAAUCGAGUUGUUGACAAGAAAGAAGCCAUCAUAUGUGUCUUUAGAAGGAGAUGGCCUUGUUGUACACUUUGUUUCCUUGUUUGCAAAAGGCAAUCUGUUGGAGAUACUAGAUCCACAAGUUAUGGAAGAAGGAGGAAAGGAUGUUAAUGAAGUAGCUAUACUUGCCGUUGUAAAAUGUGUAAAACUAAGAGGAGAGGAUCGUCCAACCAUGCAUCAAGUGGAGUUGACACCGGAAAACUUCCAUUCACCCAAGCAAUAUGUCAUGGAUGAUGUGGUGGUUGAUAAAUCCAAGAAGAAUAGAACUUGA